rnacentral:lncRNA from 1 species
CUGUGUCCUGUUGUCUAACACUACAGGGCCAAGGCUGUGAGGAGAGGAGGGGGCCGAGAUGACACUUCUCAUUCAGGAAUUCUCAAACUUGAGCACGCAUCUGAAUAACCAGAAGGGCUUGUGAAAACAGAGGGCUGGCCUCACUCCCAGGGUUUCUGAUUAAGUGGCUUCGGGAUGAAGCCUGAGUUUCUUUAUUUCUAGUAAGUUCCCUGGUGAUGCUGAUGCUGCUGAACCUGGGACCACACUGAGAAUCAUUGGCCCAAUGUGUGGUGGGCAAGUAGUAUUCAUGGAGGUACAGGGGACCCAGGCUGGCUAUAGCAGCUAACGGAGGUGAGGACAGUGUGCCAUGAAUCACAUGGGAAUUUGCAGUUAUGAACUGAAAUGUGUCUCCCCAAAUUCACAAGUUUAAGCCCCAAUGCAAACAUGAUGUUACUUGGAGAUAGAGUCAUUAGGGAGAUAAUUAAGGUUAAAUGAGGUAAUAAGGGCAGUACUCUAAUCCAGGGGUCCCCAAACCCCGGGCCAUGGACUGGUACCAGUUCAUGGUGUGUUAGGCACUGAGCCGCAUAGUAGGAGGUGAGCGGCAGGCAAGCAAGCGAAGCUUCAUCUGUAUUUACAGCCACUCCCCAUCGCUUGCGUUACUGCCUGAGCUCCGCCUCCUAUCAGAUCAGCUAUGGCCUUAGGUUCUCAUGGGAGUGUGAACCCUCUCAUGGGAAUGUGAAUUGAGCAUGCCAGGGAUCUAGGUUGCGUGCUCCUUAUGAGACUCUACUGCCUAAUGAUCUGUCACUGUCUCCCAUCACACCCUCAGUUGCAGGAAAACAAGCUCAGGGCUCCCACUGAUUCUACAUUAUGGUGAGUUGUAUAAUUAUUUCAUUAUAUAUUACAAUGUAAUAAUAAUAUAAAUAAAUUACACAAUAAUUGUAAUGCACUUGAAUCAUCCU